CUCGCAAGACGACUUGCGAGAUGUAAGCAAUCGGGACGGCCCG
rnacentral:ncRNA from 2 species